GUGAAUCAUCGAAUUUUUGAACGCAAAUUGCACUCUUCGGUUUUCCGGGAGAGUAUGCCUGUUUGAGGUUCAGCUUAAAAAAAAUCGACAUUGUUGCUGUUAUUUAAUGGUGACUUUCGUCGGUGAUUGUGUUAUCUUAAACCUUUUUUUUUUUUUGUUUUAUUCGACUUAAAUUUUUUCUUCACGAUUCCAUGUCUGUUUCUAAGUUUUUAUUUUUUUUUACGUUUAAGGUUUAUGGAUCUUUUAUUAAUCGUGACCGUCGUUGCG
rnacentral:misc_RNA from 1 species